CAUCUUGUUUCUGUUUUGUUUAUUUUUAUUAUUAUUGUUUUAUUUAAUUUAUUUAUUUUAUGUUUUUAAAAGCCUACGGUGGACAGGUGUUGAAAACUAGCAUUUAUGCUAAUACACUGAAAACAAUGCAUCUGGUUUCGUCCAAUGAUAUUGUCACAUCCAUGUUAAAUAAAAAUCUACUACUAGGCCUACUACUAAACGGGACUCAAUCAUGGACAUAAAAAGAAGGCUCAAUCCGUUUUGGUUUUGAUUUCAUUGAACGCAGCCCGUUCUUUUGCAUAAACAAAGCCAUUGGAAACACGUCUAAAAGCACUGAUAAAUGCAUAUGUAACCCAGUUCCUGUUAGGGACUCUUAUUCUGAUGAGAACGGAAGUGUCUGCGUGUGGGUCGCUGUUUUGACUCUGUGUUGGGAGCGCUGGAAAUAAAAAGGAUCGCCCCGUUCAGUGAAUGGAGUUAACAGAUUCCUCUUUUAUAAAUAACCCAAGUACAUGCAACAAUAAUUUGUACAUUAGAUUAUUAUUCAUAGAUUAGAAAACAAAAGGAGAUCGUUAAUACUUGGGAAUAACAUGGGGAUGAAUGAAACGCGCAUGCGCAUUUAAAAGACAGCGUUUACAAGAAGUGCGUCAUUAUUGCGCAUCUAGGACCCCGAGUCGAUCUGGCAGCAUGUCUGGCAGCCGAGUCAAUCCGACACCCACACCGUUCCAAGAGAUCCGGAUCACUAAAAAGAGCUUAAAUUCCCAUCACUACACAGUUCAAAGCGUUGUGACAAUUACCGCGGAGACCAUAGGGAAAUCCGGAAAUUAGGAAGGUCCCAUGGGCUCUACCGGAAGGGGCGUGACUUCGCCACUGCGCGACCAUGGCUGUUUCCCAAAGUGAAGGCUGCAGCCUUGCUAGGACCAUGGACAUAAUAAAGGAUGGACCACGGACUGGAAAAUGGCCGCCCAUUCAUUCCUAUACAAACUGCUCAGUGGCGCAGGGUAACAUACGGAGCGAUUUCGCUUCCGCGUUAUCGGGCCAAGACACCUGGGGUGUGUUCGAAACCGCCUACUUGCUUACUGCUUACUACCUACUAAAUAUUUGGCUUACUUCUCGAAUCCUUAAAUAAUGAUUGAGUAAUCCAUUUGAGUAAUCGACGUUCAGAAGACCUUCCUUACUUAACCACCUCAGAUGACGUGAAUCAAAUGACGGGCGCCGUUAAUAAAUAUUAUAAAUAAACAUAUAAACGUCACAUUUAACGUCACAGCACACCUUCAACCUAAGGAUUUGCGGUGAUAUGUUAAAACAAUUAUUAAACAAUUAUUAAACAAUUAUUAAAAGCACUGCUGCUGCGGUUCCCCGUUUAGCGCCAUUGCUUCCACUGUUCUUUUGAAUAGACGCAGUGCAUUCUGGGGCGGUUGAGUACGUCUAGUAAGCUAGCGAUGCUUACUCAAAAUCUUUCCGGAAGUAGA
ensembl:lncRNA